CUACACGGGUAUCUAAUCCUGUUCGCUCCCCACGCUUUCGCUCCUCAGCGUCAGUAUCGGCCCAGAGACCCGCCUUCGCCACCGGUGUUCCUCCUGAUAUCUGCGCAUUUCACCGCUACACCAGGAAUUCCAGUCUCCCCUACCGAACUCUAGCCCGCCCGUAUCGACCGCAAGCCCGAAGUUGAGCCCCGGGUUUUCACGGUCGACGCAACAAGCCGCCUACGAGCUCUUUACGCCCAAUAAAUCCGGACAACGCUCGCGCCCUACGUCUUACCGCGGCUGCUGGCAC
rnacentral:rRNA from 1 species